UUUCCCUGUACUCUCCCCGUCUCUCUGUACUCUCUCUCCUCUCUCUCAAGCUAGAAACCCUUCAAACUUUCUUUAAUCAAAACACAAAUUCAUGAUCAAAUCAUAUAUUGUUCACCGAUCCUGAGAGUCAAAGGCCGUGUUUUGGAGUUUGGACUCAACCCUGUUGACAAUUGGAAAUUAUUGCCAAUCACAAAUCACACACCCAAGAAACAGAGUUACCCCAAAAGAAAAGAAACUGAUUCUAGAACUUACGAAUUCAAUCAAUCAAAUAGAGAAAUCAAGAUGAGUUUUUAGUAUCUGAAUCUUUAGUUGAUGGGUUUGUAAUCUUCACUCUCUAUUUUCACCAUUACAUAUUGUAUGAUUUCACAAUUGAUUUCUUGUUCAAGAACCUAAAAAUUGGAUUUUUAUUGAUGGGUUUAGUGUGUUUAGCCCUAAAUGAAACACCACCAUCUCUGUAACAUAAAUUGUUCACCGAUCCUGAGAUCAAAUCGUAUCUGUAGCUGUUAUUAGUUCAUUAAUCACUCAUCAUCAUCAUCUUCUUCUUCAAUUUCUGUUGUCUGACUCAGGUAAUUUUCAGUUUUGACCGUACUGUUCUUAAUUUAGGGUUUUCAUUUUGUUCAAAAUUGGGGGAAAUCAUCGUACUGUUCCUUUGAUCAUUAAUCAUCAUCAUCUUCUUCUUCUUCUUCUUCUUCUUCAAGUUUUGUUGAAUAUGAGUUGGCGAUACAGAUUCAAACAUAUCUGUUACCGAAACGACGUCGCCGUCUUCACGUUCAACGAGUUCUUCUUUGUAUAUGACGUCAUCUAGAUUAGAGAUUGUAGCUCCGGCGCCGGUGUUUUCAUCGCGGAAACAUGUUUCUUCCUUAGGUAUUGUAGCUCCGGUGCUGGUGUUUUCAUCGCGGAAGCCGCCGUUGCCGGCGACUCACCGGAAAAGAUGUAUUGCUGACCGUCUGGUUGCUGACGUAACAGAUCUGGAAGUGGUUGUCAUUGUAACUUAUGUUUGUAAUUCACAGUUUAAUACGUUAUAUGCAAGUAUUUCUGCUGCUGAACUGAGGGAAUCUGUUUCCGCUUUGACAAAACGGUUAGCAGAGAUGGCUCAAGAGACAUUUGUUGACUUUGAAGAAGCCGUUGAAAAGGUCGCUACAAAAACCGCUGUUCUUGAUGGAACUGUCCAUCCGUUAACAAGUUAUGUUAGCAAUUACGUCAAGUUCUUAUUCGAUUACAAGUCAACAUUGAAGGAAAGGGCAAUGUAUGCCCUUCCAAACCAAGGUAUAGAUUGUAAGGUAGAUAUCAAGUAGUCUUUGUCGCCUAAAGUUGGUCCUGUUGUGUACUGGAUGUUCAGAGAUCAGCGGUUGAGAGACAACUGGGCUUUGAUUCACGCCGUUGAUCAAGCUAACAGGCUCAAUGUGCCUGUUGCGGAUGCGCUUAAUUUGUUCGAUCGGUUUCUUGGUGCAAAAGCUCGUCAGUUGGGGUUUAUGCUUAGGGGGUUGCAGCAGAUGAAUCAUGAGAUUGAAGAGACGCUUCAUAUACCUUUUUUCUUGUUUCAGGAUUUUAACCUAGGAGGGUUGGAUGAGGUUACAACAUAGUUCUUGCAGGUGCCUUUGUGUUUCCUUUUGCGGCCAAAACGAGAAGACGAUUCAGCUUUUGUGUUUUUCGUCUUCUUUGACUCCUCAACUGAACUUUUUGAACCUUUUCUCUUUAGAUCCCCCGAUUUGACGCGAUUAUCAGUGAGUUGAGUAGCUAAACGAAUAGCAGCUUCCAGGGUGGCAGGGUUGCUACUAAUAACUAGGUCUUGGGUUUUCACCGGAAGACCCCCAAUGUACCUCUCAAUAAGUCUAGGAAGAGGUGUAUCUAGGUAAGGGACCAAUUGUCUCAGUUUGUGGAAACGUUUGUUAUAAGAUAAAUUCUCUCUAAUAUCCUGCUUCAAGCUCUAGAACUCAUCUUCCAAAUUCUUGAUCUCAUUACACGGGAAGAACUGUUGGGUCAUGAUUUCCUUGAGUUGUUCCCAAAACAAGGCUACUGCCGCUUCGGCACCACAAGUGUUCGUUUGACCGUUCCACCAAGUUAACGCUUGACCUAACAGUCGACUAGUGGCGUAACGGAAUUUUGCGGUCGUUGGGACAGUCGUAAUUCAGAAAUGUGCUUUCCAUCUCCUCAAACCAACGAAGUAAGGCAGUAGCACCCUCGGUACCCUCAUAAGUGGGAGGGUCACAUGACUUCAAAUGUUUGAAGUAACACUUAGAAGGAUUUACACUACCAGGGUUUACUUGAGUAGUAGGCCCUUGAUUGGUAAGGGCUUGUUGAACUUGAACCACUAUGUUAGGAAUGACGGCGACCAUUUCUUUUGCGAUUUGGAUAGCCAUUCGGUGACCAGAGUUUCCAGCGUGGAUUCAGGUGCAGUGACGUCUAGCAGACAUCAAUAGGGAUCAGCGCAAAAAGUUCGUGAAUUUUUGAUAAAAAUUGAUUGUUAAAUUAUAUAGAGAAUCUCCACAAAAAAUAGAAACCUAUGAUAUAACGAAAAUUCCUAAACGUGACAUCAUAUGAAAUACGAUAAAACUUAUGAUAAACUGAUAUUUAAAAAAAAUGAAAUAUUAAAAAUUCCUAGGUUUGGCACAUCAUAGAGUUUGGUAUGCCUGUCACUUUCGUAAUCACGUAGGCCUCCGCAAUUACCGUGCUUUCGCCUAGUUCACAUAUGUUUAUCCACUGAUUAACUGAAGAAAAUCGUGAAAUAUUGAUUAAUUCGUAAUGAGGUUUCGCCUAGUUCGCAUAUGUUUAUACAUCCAAAUUAUAUUAUAGUAUACGAUAUUUGUAAGUUUCGCUCAGAGUUUAAAAACCGCGUACAUAUAUACCAACAAUCCAAAUAAACACAAAUCAACCUACAAACCCUAACUGUUUUUCAUCUUCUUCAAUUCACAACCCUAACCCUAACACCCUUCAAUGGAGCCUGAACAGAAGCAAUCACAAGAAACCAGCAAAAAAGCGGCGAAAAAGGAAGCAACAAAGGCCAACAAGUUUCGCCGUAAGUAGGAAGCCGCAACGCUGUCCGCCGCCGUGUCCGGCGUCGCCGGAGUUUCAAUUGACGGACCCGAUCCACUCUCGGCGAGCUACGGUGACGUUCCGAUCAAAGAGCUAUCGAAGGCGGUUACCGGUCGCGUGUGAACGACGCUGACUUCGUUGAUGGAGGAAUUGAAGGAUCAGACGGUGUUGAUGCGUCGACGACCUAAGACGAAUCGAGCGGUAGGGAAGAUGGCGUUUUGGACGGUUAGAGAGAGGAUAUACAGUGCAAUGUGUGUUGAUAUUGAGGGAGUUCUUUCCAUUACAUAGCGCUUCUUCAUCUCCCCGUCUGGUUCACUUCUUUGUGUUCAUCAAUGGCAGACGUCUCCGUUCAGCUCAGAUCUGGAUACUUGUUGAUGAGAAAUGGAUGUUGAUUCAUCAAUGCCAUCGUGGUCGCCGGAGGUUAAUGUAAGUACUAGUGGUCCUGAGCUAGAGGAGAGGUUGAGAGUUAAGGUGCAACAGACGAGUACAGACCGGGAGUCAUGUUUUUUCCUUAUUUAUCUUUCUCAGAUUUUGUUCUGCACGAAAUAAUUUUGGUGAUUUUGAUGGUAAUUCUAGCCUAUCUUGAUCUUGCUAAGCAAAUUAAAAUUGUUGUUGAAUAUUUAUUUUAUUUUGUUAAAUGUUCAUUAUAUUCAUUGAAUUGAAGGAUUCGGUUUCUUUAGUUCUUUUCAUCGGUAGAUUGAGAGUGAAGUUCGGUCCAAUUUGGUUUAUUAUAGGAUUUGUCUUGAAGUAUAGUACUCGGUUUGCGAAACCCCCAAUUAGUCGACCCAGUGGUAUUCAGACUUUUUCCAAUCUGAAUCGCCCCUCCGCCAUUGAUUCCGAGAGUGACUCAGAAGGCCCUGAGUACUAUACCGGCGGCGAAACAAGGUCAGAUUUUUAAAUUUCAGCGUUUAUAGUGGACGAGCCAAUGGCAUGGUGCUGCUUUUGGUGAUUAUGUAUUUGUGGCGGUCUACGUGGAGAAGGCACUAGGCGCUAGUCGGGCGGUGAGGUACCACCUAGGGAUUAAUCGGAAUGGGAGUUUUUAUAUUCAAAUUUAUAUAUAUACACAAUAAUAUAAAAAUAAUACUUCAAAAUUCACAUAAAUACUUCAAGUUUCAAUUAGUAUGGUUCAAACAUAAGCAAUUAAACUUAAACAUAACAAAUUAAGUACUUAGAAAUUCAAAAAUUAACAUAUAGUUCAAAUACUUCAAAGAUCAUCAUGCAAGUCGCGAUUCACAUCAUCUUCUGCAUAUUGGUCAAUGAUUUGAACACCAUCUGACUCGUACUCAACCUCCUCAUCUAGUUGCUCCUCAGGCUCCGACUCAAAUUCUUCAUCAAUAAGUUCUCUCGUGACACUUGACCUAGCAUUUGUACUUGUCCUAGCACUUGUUCGAGUUCGCAACACUUCGUCAACACCUGCGGCUUCCCUAACCACUUUCCAAGUUAGUCCCAGUUCAACUUCUUCAUCGACAAGCCAUUUUUAGCCCCACUACCAUCUUCUGCCACAAGUACUUCAUGAUUUCUCAACUUUCUUUUCUUGUUUUUCUCCAUCAAAAAACAAGAUCUUUUAUUCUACUCGCCUCUAGUCGAUUUC